GUCGCGAUAAGCGAAUCGAAUUGGUACGACUUGCUAUUUUUGGUUACCUUUAUGUUACGUCAUGAUGCAGACGCGUCGACAGUCUCCGUCUGAUUUUUUAUCUAAAUCUCAGGAAAUUACAGUUCUUUUACCAUACAUUGACACGGAAUAAAUCUGGACCUUGU